UACCAGCACCCCGAGUGGUCGGGACGAUUAUUGGGCCUAAAGCAUCCGUAGCCGGUUUUACAAGUCCCCCGUUAAAUCCACCUGCUCAACAGUUGGGCUGCGGAGGAUACUAUAGAGCUAGGAGGCGGGAGAGGCAAGCGGUACUUAGUGGGUAGGGGUAAAAUCCGUUGAUCCAUUGAAGACCACCAGUGGCGAAGGCGGCUUGCCAGAACGCACUCGACGGUGAGGGAUGAAAGCUGGGGGAGCAAACCGG
rnacentral:rRNA from 1 species